rnacentral:rRNA from 1 species
UUAAAUUGAAGAGUUUGAUCAUGGCUCAGAUUGAACGCUGGCGGCAGGCCUAACACAUGCAAGUCGAGCGGAAACGACAUUAUUGAUUCUUCGGAU